rnacentral:rRNA from 1 species
CCCUUAGAUGUUCUGGGCCGCACGCGCGCUACACUGACGCAUUCAACGAGUCUCCUUGGCCGAGAGGCCUGGGUAAUCUUGUGAACGUGCGUCGUGAUAGGGAUAGAUUAUUGCAAUUAUUAAUCUUGAACGAGGAAUUCCUAGUAAACGCAGAUCAUCAAUCUGCAUUGAUUACGUCCCUGCCCUUUGUACACACCGCCCGUCGCACCUACCGAUUGGAUGGUCCGGUGAAGCCUCGGGAUUGUGGCCGGUGCAUUCAUUUGUGUCGGUUGCGAGAACUUGUCUAAACCUUAUCAUCUAGAGGAAGGUGAAGUCGUAACA